rnacentral:rRNA from 1 species
GACGAACGCUGGCGGCGUGCCUAAUACAUGCAAGUUGAGCGCUGAAGGAUGGUACUUGUACCAACUGGAUGAGCAGCGAACGGGUGAGUAACGCGUGGGGAAUCUGCCUUUGAGCGGGGGACAACAUUUGGAAACGAAUGCUAAUACCGCAUAAAAACUUUAAACACAAGUUUUAAGUUUGAAAGAUGCAAUUGCAUCACUCAAAGAUGAUCCCGCGUUGUAUUAGCUAGUUGGUGAGGUAAAGGCUCACCAAGGCGAUGAUACAUAGCCGACCUGAGAGGGUGAUCGGCCACCAUGGGACUGGAACACGGCCCAAACUCCUACGGGGGGCAGCAGUAGGGGAUCUUCGGCAAUGGACGGAAGUCUGACCGAGCAACGCCGCGUGAGUGAAGAAGGUUUUCGGAUCGUAAAACUCUGUUGGUAGAGAAGAACGUUGGUGAGAGUGGAAAGCUCACCAAGUGACGGUAACUACCCAGAAAGGGACGGCUAACUACGUG